rnacentral:rRNA from 1 species
AUUGAACGCUGGCGGCAGGCCUAACACAUGCAAGUCGAGCGGAUGAAGGGAGCUUGCUCCCUGAUUUAGCGGCGGACGGGUGAGUAAUGCCUAGGAAUCUGCCUGGUAGUGGGGGACGACGUUUCGAAAGGAACGCUAAUACCGCAUACGUCCUACGGGAGAAAGUGGGGGAUCUUCGGACCUCACGCUAUCAGAUGAGCCUAGGUCGGAUUAGCUAGUUGGUGAGGUAAAGGCUCACCAAGGCGACGAUCCGUAACUGGUCUGAGAGGAUGAUCAGUCACACUGGAACGGAGACACGGUCCAGACUCCUACGGGAGGCAGCAGUGGGUAAUAUUGGACAAUGGGCGAAAGCCUGUUCCAGCCAUGCCGCGUGUGUGAAGAAGGUCUUCGGAUUGUAAAGCACUUUAAGUUGGGAGGAAGGGCAGUAAGUUAAUACCUUGCUGUUUUGACGUUACCAACAGAGUAAGCACCGGCUAACUUCGUGCCAGCAGCCGCAGUAACAC